rnacentral:rRNA from 1 species
UGAGGAAUAUUGGUCAAUGGGCGCAGGCCUGAACCAGCCAAGUCGCGUGAGGGAAGACUGCCCUAUGGGUUGUAAACCUCUUUUAUAAGGGAAGAAUAAUGACUACGUGUAGUCAGAUGCCCGUACCUUAUGAAUAAGCAUCGGCUAACUCCGUGCCAGCAGCCGCGGUAAUACGGAGGAUGCGAGCGUUAUCCGGAUUUAUUGGGUUUAAAGGGUGCGUAGGCGGUAUUUUAAGUUAGUGGUAAAACGUCGGGGCUUCACCUUGAUUGGCCAUUAAAACUGGAGUACUAGAGUACAGACGAG